rnacentral:misc_RNA from 1 species
CCUAUAACUUCGAAGCACACUUUUAUCGUCCAAGGACCUCGAUGCACUCCGGCUCCACAUUUUCCUCUCCACAGCCGCAUCUCUGUCGGACCCAUAGGCUUCAUCAUUACUCUCCUGGUCCUCUUCGGAAUCCUCUUCGUCAGUGACGAAUGAUUUCCUUUUGGAACUUUUAGGUGAACCGAGACGGAUUUCAAUAAGGCGAUCAAGUACUUGAUCAACGGCGCGCUUGUGAACGUAAAAGGCCGAAAUUGCCAUCAACGAAGCUCCAACUAGAGCUGCCAUGGCUAGGUGCAGAGAGGACAACGACGAAUCCAUGAAGAUCGGAAACGCCGUUUUACAGCUGACGUCAGUGAAAAUGGAACCCUACUUUCUGUCUGCUGAAGAGGGUGUAAAUGGGAAUCUCAUAGGUUCGGAAGGAAAAC